GUCUUCCGUACUCCCCACGUGAAUUAUGUGGCGGAUGUUCACAGAACCGUGCACGCGCCUUGCAGAUGGAGAUAGGACGGAGAACAUAUCAGAACUUCUUUCUGGUCCUUGGACAGGUUGAUGAAGUUAACAGCUACUGAUGAUCAGGAUGCUCGCGACAGGAGUCGACUCGGCCUCAGCUCUAGUACAUCCUUAGCGCACUUGCGACACCUUUUCAAAGUCAAAUAAAAGAAGAUUUUGCAGUGAGCAGUGUAAUGUACUGUACGAACAGUUUUUUUCUACCGAACUCCACACACCAGUCGUAUCACUGCGCAGAAGACAGGAGCACGAGCUGCCCGCGAUAUCUUCUCGCGGGGGGGAUCACGCGUUAUAGCAGGACUGAACGUCUGGCUGCAGUGUAACAUUAGCUUUUUCUUCUUUUUUCUUGUUGAUUUUUUUUCUUGAAAUGGUUCAAGUACUUAUAUAUCUGUAUAUACCAAUGCAUGGCAGAUGCUGUUUGUGCAAAGUUGGUGCAAUCUUGAGAUUUUUUAUUGAUUGAUUUAUUUUGGAGGGCCCAAUCACAAAAAUUGAUGUAGAGAAGCCAAUU